rnacentral:rRNA from 1 species
UACGUAGGGUGCGAGCGUUUGUCCGGAAUUAUUGGGCGUAAAGAGCUCGUAGGCGGUGUGUCGCGUCGGCCGUGAAAACCUGGGGCUUAACUCUGGGCGUGCGGUCGAUACGGGCAUCACUGGAGUUCGGCAGGGGAGACUGGAAUUCCUGGUGUAGCGGUGAAAUGCGCAGAUAUCAGGAGGAACACCGGUGGCGAAGGCGGGUCUCUGGGCCGAUACUGACGCUGAGGAGCGAAAGCUAGGGGAGCAAACGGG